ensembl:lncRNA
ACACUUGUCUGCUGGCAAUUCUAUUUCAAAGCCUCUCAACAACUCUGAUCCUUUUGCGGCAUUCUGUCCUUAUCUGAAAGUUGGCAAAUUCCAAUUGAGACUUCUAAAAGAUUUUACAGAAAAGAUGUCCACCUCCCUGGUUCAAAACUCAAAGUGCUUGGGGCAUCACUUCCCUCAACAUGUCGGCUGUGGUACUGUCACAUCCUCCAGUUUGCUGUCUGUAACCGCACCCCUGGCUCACUCUGUGCCUGUGUUGCAGAACCUCAGCUCCUUUUUAGCUGCUCCUCGUGGAGCACAAGCUGUUUGCAAAGGAGUUGAGGGUGAGGACAGGAGCUCUCAUCUUCUACCCACUUCACAAUUUUACAAUCAUUUGCCAAUGGUGAAGCUGUUGGCAUUACUGAAGCGAAUGCAGAUGAUGAGAUGAUGGCAAUGAGUAUCUGACUAAGUGAUAAUGUUAGGAAGAAAUACUGUGAAGCUGAGCAAAUUUAGAAGUUGUAAAAGUAAAUCUUCACACACUUCAAAAAUGCCUGGAGGCUUUUUUGAAACCUGGCUUUCUGUACUUCUUCAGAAAGGCUGCUCUCUCCUGAAAGUCAUCAGUAUUUUGACUAUUUGGAGUACACUGUUUAUUAUUCAUCUGUUGCACAGUUAUUCUGAUUUAUUCUUAUUUGGUUGUUUAUUCAUCUUGCAUGGAUUAGAGUCUUUCAGUAAAUGUUAAGUAAGAAUUAGAAUAUAUUACAUAGUUUCCUACAUAUAUGCAGUGCAAAGCUUCUAUUAAAAAAUAAAAGGCAGCACGAUUUUAGCAAAUAGCAGAUCAAAGCUGCCUGUGAAAAAGAAUGGUGACUUAAUAACAUAACUGGGAUUGCUUUCCAAACUUCUGUCUUAAGCGUUUCAUAUAAAAUUAAUGUAUGGAAGUAAACUCAGGUCAUACUUCAAAUAAGUUUCUUUCUGUAAUUAAGUAAGAACUCUAACUUGUCUAAAAAUACUAAGCACUUGUCUAAAAAUACUAAGCAUGAUUAUAAAAAGCUCAAAGCUGACUUCCUUUAAAUCCUAAUGCAUGACACAGAAAAAAAGGCCACAAAAAUGAGUGUAGUACUGCUGACACAGUUGGACGUCAGAUAUUUUUAUUUAAUACCAUCUAUUAAUAAUUAAUUUUUGAACUCUGACAUUACUGCACUAGAAAAGCUGCUGAACACAAAUUUAGAUCUCUAACUGUGCAUGGUGAAAGAGCUCAUUCAUCCAAUCACAUAUUUUUGGAGAUUUGUACCUAAUGACAUGAUGCUAGAAUCAGGAAACAGGAAAUAAAUUACUAUCUCAAUUUCUGUUACUAAUAGCAUGAAAUCCUCUACAAGUAGUAAGAUCAGAUACAUCAUGUGUGUCAUGAUGUAACCUACUAAAGAUACUAAAUGCAUUAAACAGCAAGUUAUGAGCAAUUAUGUUGGCUCCAGGAUACUUGUUCUCACCCUACAACUGUUUUUCAUGUCAUUAAGAGCAUCACAGCAAGAGUAUUUGUACUGUGCAAUGUAUUUAACUAGGCCUCUAGUCCUAAUGCCAUUCUUACAAACAGUAUUUCAGUAGCAGUGCCUCCCAUUCUGUCAGCAUGUAUCAUAAACAAGGAAGCAUAAAGCCUGAAGUAUGGAAAAAAUUGCAAGAUUCUUAUCUACCCAUUAAUCAAGAGAUUUCACUGUACCUACUGCAUAAGUUUCUGCUUGCGCUUUUCUCUUAUUAGAUGCUCCAAUUAGUAAAUAGUUUGCAAUUUAAAAGAAUGAUGUUCCAUCACUUUUUUAGACUAUAAGUAGAUGCAGAAUUAAAUUUGCCUUCCACUGCU